GACGAACGCUGGCGGCGUGCUUAACACAUGCAAGUCGAACGGAAAGGCCCUGCUUUUGUGGGGUGCUCGAGUGGCGAACGGGUGAGUAACACGUGAGUAACCUGCCCUUGACUUUGGGAUAACUUCAGGAAACUGGGGCUAAUACCGGAUAGGAGCUCCUGCUGCAUGGUGGGGGUUGGAAAGUUUCGGCGGUUGGGGAUGGACUGGCGGCUUAUCAGCUUGUUGGUGGGGUAGUGGCUUACCCAGGCUUUGACGGGUAGCCGGCCUUGGAGGGUGACCGGGGACCAGGCGACUACGAGAGGGAGCAGUGGGGAAUGGUAGACAAUAGGGGGAAGUAUGACACAGUGGGACGGAGUGGGUGGCGGCGGCGUUGCGGGUGUGAAGACGGUUUGUGGGGAAAGAAACGCAGCAGGUUAUUACGACGCUGGUGUGACGGUAAUGAAAGAAGAAGCACCGGCUAACUACGUG
rnacentral:rRNA from 1 species